CCGUGCUAAGCGGGGGGUUGGUGGUCCCCUGUACCCGAAAUCCACCUAGCGGGGCUUAAUUCCCUUGCCAAGGUUUGUGGGGUCUGAAAACGGUCCUCGGUAGGGCGCUGAAGGUUGAGUCCUACGCAACAACUACCUGUGAACCGGGUCAGGUCCGGAAGGAAGCAGC
rnacentral:SRP_RNA from 1 species